GAGAGUCCCCGUGCCUCCUUGCAGAGAGUGCCAGCGAGAGACCGCACGGCCCUGGUCAACGCAAGCGAUGAAGCCUCUGCCAGAGCUGCACUGUGUGGCUUGGGUUCUUUGCAACUGCGCAGAUAUGCCGUGAACGUGCGCACGGGCGCCAUAUGAAUGGGGCUUACUC
rnacentral:RNase_MRP_RNA from 1 species